ncrna:Gemmata obscuriglobus TQM 2246 type-P1 twister ribozyme
CCCUUAACCCGACCGCCCCACGGUGGGGCGCUGGUGACAAGUCCAGCAACGGGGAGUCAAGGG